CUGCAACUAAUUAGUUAUUAAACGAACUGUAUUCCAUGUAAAUUUGACUAAUGAGAUUAUAAAUUAGUUGACAUUAACUUCUUCGGACAAAUCAUACUACAGAUUGUACUAAGAAAAAGGAAAAUAAAAUCUAAUGUAUCUGAUAUCAUAAAGUGGCCUAACAAUGAACAAAGAAACUAAGGGUCCGUUUGAUUGUAAAGGUAGAAUUUGGGUGGAAAGAAAAUGAAUUUUAGGAAAUUGAAUUGCCUAAAAUUUGUUUUACUGAGAAUUGACAAUUAAAUGUGUUUGAUUGGUAUAAAUUUUAACUUGAAAAAUGUUAAAAAUUUUUAUCUUUUGGUGUCCAUUUGGCUUUUUUUUUAUGAAAAUUGUCAACUAAUGGGACAAAAUUUGUUACAAUUGGGAAUAGAAUUUGUUCCAAUUGUCAAAAAAUUAAAAAAAAAUAAAUAAAUAACUGGCUGAAAAUCCAAUUCUCACCAAAAUGGUGAGAAUUGAUUUUCUACAAAACCAUGGAAUUGGUAGGUGUGGAGGGAAGUUGGAAAACAAAUUCCAUGAAAAUUUUUAGCAAUCAAAAAACACAAAUUGGGUGAAAAUGGAAAAUAUUUUCCAUGAAAAAUCAAGGCUAUCAAACAUGGCCUAAGAUCUCCAAAAUGUACAAGAAAUUAUUCUAAAUCACCCAAAAAUACAAAGAUGAGAGAUGAAAACCAAAAAAUUCACCUUUUAGCUUCCUAUAAAUGACAUAAAUAGCUUCGGAAAAGAGCAGACCCCAAAAGAUCAGCACUCGGACUUGUCUUCUCUAAUAUGGAAAACAAAUAGCAGCAACAAAAAUCAACCAAACAAUGUCACAAAAAUAUGAACUAAAAGUAGAGCAUCAACUUAAUUCUAAAACAUUUGUAUAAGAACCUAAAGAAUAUUUCAUACAUAAUAAACUCAACAAAUGAAAAUCGAAAAUGCACGUGAAUCUGGAAGCUGAGCAAGUACCCCCAAAGAAUAAAUUAAACAUAAACGAACCAAACUCAUAGCAGAGGCAUAUUAAGCCAAAAUUUAUGGAGCAAUCUAAAAGAAAGAUAAAAAAUAGAAAAAUUCAUAAAAGGUUCCAAACAAACUCUUCAAUUGAACGCAAAAAUUGCUAAAUGGGAUCCCAACAUAAGAACUUGCAGUCCAUGUUG
rnacentral:lncRNA from 1 species